AUUGAACGCUGGCGGCAUGCCUAACACAUGCAAGUCGAACGGCAGCACAGUAAAGAUUUCGGUCUUUAUGGGUGGCGAGUGGCGGACGGGUGAGUAAUGCGUAGGAAUCUGUCCUGGAGAGUAGGAUAACCCGAGGAAACUCGGGCUAAUACUGCAUGAUAUCGAGAGAUCAAAGGCAGGGGACCCUUCGGGGCCUUGCGCUCUAGGAUGAGCCUACGUCGGAUUAGCUAGUUGGUGGGGUAAAGGCCUACCAAGGCGACGAUCCGUAGCUGGGCUGGAGGGAUGACCGGCCACACUGGGACUGAGACACGGCCCAGACUCCUACGGGAGGCAGCAGUGGGGAAUCUUGGACAAUGGGGGAAACCCUGAUCCAGCGAUGCCGCGUGUGUGAAGAAGGCCUUCGGGUUGUAAAGCACUUUAGUUGGGGAAGAAAAGUAAUGAGUGAAUAACUGAUUGCUCUGACGGUACCCAAAGAAUAAGCACCGGCUAACUCUGUGCCAGCAGCCGCCGUAA
rnacentral:rRNA from 1 species